GUUGAGUCAUUUUCGGCUGAAAAGGGUACGGAUACCGUUAAAUGGUGAGGGAAGGGCAUAAGUGUAAAAGAAAAGAGAAGGGUAUAAUGGUAGAUUAGCGUGAAAACCGAGGGACAGAGAUAAGUGUGCCAGACUGUCCCGCCAAGCCACUUCUCUUCCCAUUGAAUCUUGCAUCACAAGCACACUACUCGUAAAAUAUUUACCCUCCCCCCUUACUCCGUGUGUAUGUAUAUAUAUAUAUAUAUAUAUUAGUUUGCAGUAAAAAGCCGAAUUCACCGCCAAAAAACAUUGAUUUCGUACGAUUUAGUCCAUAACCACUUUGCCACCUAUUAGUGCAUUAAUCACAAAAUUUUCCAUCAAAACCUAAUUCAACAUUCUUGUCUUUUCCUCUUUGUCAAAGGACUGAGAGGCAUGGAUUUUAUUUCCGGAAGUCAAUUGCUUUGAAGAGAAAUGGAGGACAUGGAAAGUAAGGCUUCUCCAGCUACUACGAUUGUCAAGGAAUAUGUACAUCGCGGGUAAUUUGCCGAGGUUCAGGAAGAGCAGUCCUGUCAAAUUAUUGGAUCUUUCAGGCACAAAUUUCUCGGGGAAGUUAAUUUUUAGAAACGAGGUAGCUCAGACUGGACCCCAAAGCAGGUCGUGGGGUCAAUCACUAAAGAUGAGGAAGAGGUUGUGGAGACCUAACAUGGUUUAGCAGAAAUAUUCUCCGACAAAGACACCACAAUAAGAAUAAAUCGGAGAAUUCCCUUCAGAAGCAAAUCCUCCAGCUUUGCCAGAAGAGCCCUGCAACUGCAUUUCAAGAUUCUGCAGUUUCAAGGGAGGACUUGAGCUCAACCUGUUCCAUGAGAACUUCUAAAAAGAAACUGCUAAAAUCAAUUCCUUGGACAAAAGAAGAAAAGUCGGAUUCUCAUGACAAUGAAAUCUUCCCUAUGAAAUCAGAAACUUGUGUUCCUAAAGAAAAUCUACAUAGCACAAUUAAUUAAAAUGAAGAUGCGGGCGGGGAUUUGAUAGAGGUGGAAGGGGGUUGCGAUGGAAGCCAAGAAACCCAAGUAGAUACAGCCGAACGUGGAAUCAGAACCGCGGGGGGAUGAGGAGGAGGUGGAAUGGGGUUGUGACAGUCGGGAUUCCGACCAGUAAAGGAGGGCCAGUUGGCAGCGUUCGGGGUAAUGCAGAGGUAGAGCAGAUGUCACGACAAGGGAGAAAAAGGGUCGGUAGGUUAAUGUGUUUUUCGGUGAUUCAUUUAGAUAGAUAUUAAAAUUAUAAUUACAUAUAAAUGGUAUAAACUUGAGUUUGAGUUUAUGUGGAUAAUUUGUUUGUAAUAGUCUCUUAAAGUCAAAUUCAAACAUGUUUUCAUAAUUAA